rnacentral:lncRNA from 1 species
GAAAUUUCCACCAGUCUCUAAUUUUUCAAAAUUUAAAGUAAUAAAAAUCACAAUAUCAUUCUUUCCUAACCUAUGAAUUUAAUCAUCAAUACAGUUUGAAGAUGUUCAUUCUACCAUUAAUGCUCUACCCCAUGCCAAGCACUGUUGAGGCCUGAAGAAUACACAGGUCAACACAACGGGCAUCUGCCUUUGGAACUUCUACUCUGUGGAAAAGAGACAACUGAACAGAUUAAAAAAAUAAGUAUAUCAUACAAUAACAUAACGUGGUCAUUUCAAUGGAGGAAAAAAAAUAUAGAUAGUGAGAAGGUAAUGACAGGUGCUCAGCAAAGUCCUGUUACAAACAAGGACAUAUGAAGAGUUUCUCUGAAGAGGUCACAGAGCCAGUGUAAAGGGUUUUGAGGACAUCUAGGAAAGUUAGGCAUAAGGAUGACAGUUCUGCCCAUUUUUGUUUUUCUAACCUAAUUAUGUACACAUCUAUUUUUUUUAACCCAUUGGCUUCUUCCAGUUCCUACUCCCAGAUCUAUUUGUGAUGUAAGUUAAUUUUUGCUUAUUAAAGAAUUGAAAAUUUUUAAAUUUUAUUUUCAAAGCUGGGAAAAAAAGGCACAAGUUGACCAGAUAUUUGAAAAUUAACUUAACUCAAAAAUGUAAUUUAACUCAUGCAAGGGAUAUGUAUACAGGGACUUUGGGAUAUUUAAGUA